rnacentral:rRNA from 1 species
AAAUUCUGCCCUAUGAAUAUUUAAAUGGCUGCAGUAUUUUAACUGUACAAAGGUAGCAUAAUAAUUAGUUUUUUAAUUGAGGACUGGAAUGAAAGAUUUAAUGAGAAAUUUAUUUUAUUAUUUUUAAUUUUUAAAUUUUAUUUUUAGGUAAAAAAUCUUAUUUUUUUUUUUGGGACGAAAAGACCCUAUAGAACUUUAUUUAAUUGAUUUUAAUUUUUAUAAAUGUAAAAUUGUUAUUUUUUUUUAAUUUUUGUUGGGGUGAUAAAUAAAAUAAUCUUUAUUUUAUAAGUUCAUUAAUUUGUGAUUAUCAUGAUUUAAAUUUUAGUUAUAAGAUUAAGUUACCUUAGGGAUAACAGCGUAAUUUUUAUGGGGAGUUCCUAUCUAUAUAAAAGUUUGCGACCUCGAUGUUGAAUUAAGAUAAAUUAAUGAAGGAGUAUUUAUUAAAUUAAGUCUGUUCGACUUUUAAAUUCUU